AUGGUCUCAGAAGAAGCUGCCCUUUGGGCCAUCAUACAACACCUGCAAGGCAAGGGAAAGAUGCCUCACAAAGAUGAACAUUUCACAUAUAUGAAGAGGUCCUAUGCAGUUCAAGUUCCCUGGACCUGUCUUCGGCCGCCCUCACUGCCUGUGACCCCUUGGGGAAAACAAACUGAAAUGCUUCCUGGAAGGUAUUGGUCUACAUCCUCUUCCUUUACUGUAAGAAGAUGCAAAAGUAAUGGUUCCUUGCAAAGGGUUGUGAGAAUUAACUCACUAAUAUUUGAGGCAUUUGAACACAAACAUCUGAAUAGUAUCCACUAGCUGAUGUUGCAGCCA
rnacentral:lncRNA from 1 species